CCUCCCUGUCACUCAACGCCUCAGUCACGGAUGAGAUCAGAGGCCGAGUGAGGAAACGUUGAUCAGGGAGUCGGAGCCUGAGGGUUCUGCUCUGAUUGGACCGGCUGCAGUGUUGCCAGAUCUGGCAACCCCCACUUUAAAACAAGUGGACCUGGCAACAAUGACCAGAAGUCAGCUGGGCAGGGGUGUAGCACCAAAAUCUGGGCCUGACACAUAAUCAGUCAACUCCUACUGUAUUCAGACGUUACUUUCUUGACGGUGGACGUGACGAAGUCACCGGUCAGUGGAUGAUCUGGCAGAUUCCAGUGAGUCGUGAUGUAAGAGGAGAGAAGGAAAUGAAGACACCCGGACGGUUGAUUCCAGUGACGUGGAGUUCAGCUGGAGGCUGGCGACAGAUGAGCGGACAUGUUGUUCCUCCCUGAACCCUCAGGUCUGUUCUCUGUACGGUGGCCUGCGCGGGACAUUCCUGGGUCACAGGCCGACCCACUGAGCCCCGAUCACGUCCUUCCUCCACAUCCACCAUCCAGACCUCAGUCCGCUGAGUGGAGACUGAUGAACUCUGCCUUUGUGUCAUGGUCACGGUCCAUGUUCCAACUCCAAUGACCUUGACAGAUGAAGACUGGUGUCGACGAAAUAACCUGUAUCUUCUGGGGAAAAUGCAAUUGUUCCUGCUGAUUACUGAUGAAUGAAUAAGUCCUUAAACCCCGAACACCCCGAGAAGUUCAUCGAGGGUCAUUUUUACCUUUUUAAAGAAAAUUCUCUUUAUGUAUAAACGAUGUCUGAAAAAUCCUCUAUGAAAAUACCACGCAAAAAAAAGGAUUUAUCAAAAGGUAAAAGGCAUUUUUAAAUUUUCAAUUUUCAAUUUCAAAAUGUACUAAUCGAUCAAAGACACCUGGAGUGUGUGAAUCUGUGUUGGAUCCCGCAGGAGAUGUGAUUCACGCAUCAGGUGGUUGAAUUGUAAUAAAUCCAAAAGUGCAGCACGACAUUUCAUACGGAGGCAAAUAACCUCUGAUGGUUAUGAUGAAUCCCAGGUCUUUGGCGAAAAAUCUUCAUAAAGCUGAUCUGAUCUGUAUCAGUGUUCCAUUCAUAAUAAUUAAUAAUAGUUUACCCUCGCCGUCACGGUCAGAGGUCGGUGGUUCGAUCCCCAGCUCCUCCAGCCACCAAGUCUCAGUGUCUUGAAUAAGACUUUAUUAUAGUAUAGAAUUCAUACUAUGACUCAUAGCAUGAAUCUCUUUGAGUGGUCUUUCAGACUCACAAUGUAUAAACUCAGUCCAUUUUUAUCAUCCAUUUGUUAUAAGCAAUACGCAACCAAGAAUAACUUGAACUAUGAGUGUUGAGUCCUCGGGCUGUUCCUUGUGCGUACGAGGCCCGUGAGGCAGGAACUGUUCCGUUACUCCAGAAAAAUCAUCUUGACCUUUACUUUUCUUUUUUAAUGAUUCAUUUUCUGUGGAGGAAAGAGUCUCCAGUCACACCAGCAGCUCUGCAAGGGCCGGACAACUCAAUGUGAGGAAAAGCCAGAGUCAGUCGCUGCGUCACUGAUCAGUCAAACGUCUUUCGAUCCACAUCGGUCGUAACCAGUAAAUGUAAAAACUGCUCAGAGGGAGUCUUCGGAUCAAAGAUAACCGACAUACUGUAUUUCAGUGUUAGCAUCCAAGUGUCACGGGGCUGUUCAGUCUGUCUUGACAGGAUCAGGUGGUGGUGGUCGCGUGCCAAGACGAGAGGUCAUCAUAUGUCGUCUGAGCGGCUAGUUAGCAUGCUAACAUCAGUGGAAACAAAGAUAGAACCAGAAGAAAAACAAUAGUUAACGUUGGUGUUGCUUUUCUUCCACCUCUGGAGACAGCUGUUGGCAAGUAAAGGAAUAAAGUUUAACUGUGAACUCACAAGGUUUCUGACUGACUGGAAAGUAAACAGCGGUUGCUAACUUUGGUUAUGUAGCAUGUGAGCGCUUCAGCAUUACAAAGAGUCCAACAUGUGUUAAGCUACUUCCUAUAUUUCCAAAACUGUUAAUUGUGUUGUGAGAAAAAACUCUACUUAGCCACGCUAGUAGCAUAUAGCUUCAGAGAUGGUCUGUCGUCAGUCCAACACCGAAAUAUCUCCCGAAACACUGGACAUUCAUGUUCCCUGGAGAAUAAACCAUGUGGUCGACUUUCAAAUGUUAUGAACUGUUUCCGAAAUGUUGGUAUAAAUGCAAAAUGACUGACAGCCCCAUCAGGGCAAACACCUGCUAAACAUUGGCAUUUUUGUGUUUUCAA